rnacentral:rRNA from 1 species
AGAGUUUGAUCCUGGCUCAGGAUGAACGCUAGCUACAGGCUUAACACAUGCAAGUCGAGGGGCAGCAUGAUUGAAGCUUGCUUCAAUCGAUGGCGACCGGCGCACGGGUGAGUAACACGUAUCCAACCUGCCGAUAACUCGGGGAUAGCCUUUCGAAAGAAAGAUUAAUACCCGAUAGUAUAGUAUUUCCGCAUGGUUUCACUAUUAAAGAAUUUCGGUUAUCGAUGGGGAUGCGUUCCAUUAGAUAGUUGGCGGGGUAACGGCCCACCAAGUCAACGAUGGAUAGGGGUUCUGAGAGGAAGGUCCCCCACAUUGGAACUGAGACACGGUCCAAACUCCUACGGGAGGCAGCAGUGAGGAAUAUUGGUCAAUGGACGAGAGUCUGAACCAGCCAAGUAGCGUGAAGGAUGACUGCCCUAUGGGUUGUAAACUUCUUUUAUACGGGAAUAAAGUGGAGUAUGCAUACUCCUUUGUAUGUACCGUAUGAAUAAGGAUCGGCUAACUCCGUGCCAGCAGCCGCGGUAAUACGGAGGAUCCGAGCGUUAUCCGGAUUUAUUGGGUUUAAAGGGAGCGUAGGCGGGUGCUUAAGUCAGUUGUGAAAGUUUGCGGCUCAACCGUAAAAUUGCAGUUGAUACUGGGCGCCUUGAGUGCAGCAUAGGUAGGCGGAAUUCGUGGUGUAGCGGUGAAAUGCUUAGAUAUCACGAAGAACUCCGAUUGCGAAGGCAGCUUACUGGACUGUAACUGACGCUGAUGCUCGAAAGUGUGGGUAUCAAACAGAUUAGAUACCCUGGUAGUCACACAGUAAACGAUGAAACUCGCUGGUGGCGAUCACAGUCAGCGCCCAGCGAAAGC